AAUAUUGGACAAUGGGGGCAACCCUGAUCCAGCCAUGCCGCGUGUGUGAAGAAGGUCUUCGGAUUGUAAAGCACUUUAAGUUGGGAGGAAGGGCUUUAGGCUAAUACCCUGAAGUUUUGACGUUACCAACAGAAUAAGCACCGGCUAACUCUGUGCCAGCAGCCGCGGUAAUACAGAGGGUGCAAGCGUUAAUCGGAAUUACUGGGCGUAAAGCCGGGGUAAGUUGGUCAGUAAGGUGGGUGUGAAAUCCCCGGGCUUAACCUGGGAACUGCUUUCAUAACUGCUGAGCUAGAGUACGGUAGAGGGUAGUGGAAUUUCCUGUGUAGCGGUGAAAUGCGUAGAUAUAGGAAGGAACAUCAGUGGCGAAGGCGACUACCUGGACUGAUACUGACACUGAGGUGCGAAAGCGUGGGGAGCAAACAGG
rnacentral:rRNA from 1 species